rnacentral:rRNA from 1 species
CAAAAACUUGUCUCAGUUCGGAUUGUAGGCUGAAACUCGCCUACAUGAAGCUGGAGUUGCUAGUAAUCGCGAAUCAGCAUGUCGCGGUGAAUACGUUCCCGGGCCUUGUACACACCGCCCGUCACACCAUGAGAGUUGGCAAUACCCAACGUACGUGAUCUAACCCGCAAGGGAGGAAGCGUCCUAAGGUAGGGUCAGCGAUUGGGGUGAAGUCGUAACAAGGUAGC